CCUUCAGAAUACCUCUGAUGGCAGUAACUUUACAAGCACUAAUUAUGGUCACUUUAGACUGAGAAUAGUAUCUAGUUAUGGUAAGGGGUGAAAUAAGUAGAGCCAGUUAUAAUUGUAACGGUUUAGCAGAUAUAAAUAAGAUCAGGCUAAAAGAAAAGGAAUAUAACAUAUACUGUUUACAGGAAACUCACUCUACGUCCUUAGACGAACGGGGUAAUACUUUUCUGUCUUGGACAAAAGAACUCAAAAGGUGUGAUGAUAUUUAUUAACAGAAAUGUCAAUCUGAAUGUGCAAAUAAUCAGGAAUGAUUCACAAGGAAGGUGGAUAUUUUUUAAUAUGAAAGUGGACGAAAAAGAGAUUUGUCUCAUUAAUCUAUAUGGUCCAAAUCAGGAUGAUACAUACUUCUUCGAAAACAUUUAUGCCAAUUUAUUGAACUAACAGGCAACAAAUGAUCAAAUCAUUAUGGAGACCGUAACACAUUGUUAAGUACCUCAAUGGACCGUAAAGGUAAUCACUCUACAAACUAUCAUCACCCUGCCCUUAAGGUAAUCACUCUACAAACUAUCAUCACCCUGCCCUUAAGGAAAUCACUCUACAAACUAUCAUCACCCUUAAGGUAAUCACUCUACAAACUACCAUCACCCUUAAGGUAAUCACUCUACAAACUAUCAUCACCCUUAAGGAAAUCACUCUACAAA